GAUAACCAGCCUUCUGUGUUUUUGUCUCCCUGGCACUCCAUCUGUUUCUCUUUUUCUCUACCAUUCACACAAGCACAAACCCUACGCCACUAUUCAAAACCACCACCACCAAAAAUGUCUCACGGCGUGGUGGGGCCGCCCUGUUUCCCCACCGUGAGGUCGGUGGCGAACUGACCAAGGCAGAGAGCAAACACGAUGAAUGUGGCUAACACGAAACGUAACAGGAGCAGCGUUGGAGCAGUAGUGGGGUUCGGUGGAGAGAUGAAGGAAGUUCGGUAGCAGUGCGUGGAGCCGCCUGCACUCCACCAUUGCUGAUCCUCUCGAUUCCUCUUGCAUCAGGUGCUUAACUUUGACAGAUUCUCCUGGACCACAGGUUCAUCAAAGCCUAAAUACGGAUUAUGGAUUGUUUAAAUGGUUGAGCUUCUGUGCCUAGAAAUUCUUUGCAGGAAGUUGGUGAACCAAUGCACAUGAAACAGAGGUGGAAAAUGGAGGCCAUUGAGAAAUGUGAUGUGUUGGUGUACACGAAGAUCUUCUUAAAGUUUCCAUAUAAGUUCUGGCCUUGUGGACACGAGCAGAGAGGUUACUACACGUUCUGGCAGGUUCGUCUAAUUUAUUCAGAAUUACUUUACUUGCAUCCUAAAAGUCAUCGUGUUUAUUUUAUUUUAUUUUAUUUCGUACUGGGUGUGUUUUGUUAUUUCAUGGAUCGUGAAUCAUUCUACUGAAUUAUCUGUGUGUGGACGGCAUUUCCCUUCACCCAUCUAUCAAUUUUAUUCUAAUCCUUCUAUCACUUGUUCUACAUGACAAAUAGCAUUUUUAAGACUUGUUGUUUGGGAUGAUCUAAAUAAGUGUACUUUUUGACUUUUUAUGAAAUAUGGGUUGGGUUUGAAGUGAUGUGUUAGAGAGGUGAUGUGACUUAAAUAAGAUGAUGUGACUUAAAUAGGAUAAUGACCUUUUGACUUUUUGUCUUUUUUCAAUCAUGCCAAACUUGGCCUUAUUGUCUUCUAUUGCAGUUUAUUUUGAGUAUCUAACGGCUUUUGCUUUGUUUAUUUGGGUAGGCCUUCAGAUUCACUCUUCAAUGAUCAUAGGCAGCCUGUACCUCAGAUGCCACGACCACCUCUUUUUUUUUUUUUCCAGAAAACCAUCAUUCUGUUGACAAUUUUGGUCCUUUUGUCGAAACUCAGAGGUAUUAGUCCAUGACAAUGACAUUUAUAAAUUCUAUGGUAUUUAGGUAUCGACAUUUGAUGUUGAAUGUGGUGUCACUUUUGCCCCACUGUAAGAAGGAUAACAAGUUUGAAUCUAAAGCAAGUAAAGGUGCAACACUGAAUGAGCUUGUUGAACUCAAAGGCUAUUCUUCUUGCCUGUUUUUUGAGCACAGAAAACAUAAAGACCUUUAUCUAUGGAUGGCAAAGUGUCCCAAUGGUCCAUCAGUGAAGUUCUUAGUAAAUGCUGUGCACACCAUGGAAGAAUUGAAGCUUACUGGAAAUCAUUUGAAAGGCUCACGCCCUCUUUUGAAUUUCUUGACUAAUUUUAAUAGAGACCCCCACUGGAAACUUUUGAAAGAGAUAAUCAUGCAGUGGUGAGAGAAAAAGCUGAAACCCUUUAAAAAGAUAGCAAAAGCAAGGAAAAAAGGAUGGAAGUGUACCUCUUGGUAUUGACUUCCUCCUUUCUACAGUCGUUCUGCAUAGUUUUCUGCAAUAGUGACUACUCAAUUUCAUGCUAACAGUAACAAAUUAAGGAGCACCAUCUCAAAGUCCAAAUUGAAGACAACGAGGCUGAAUUCACCCCAGAGGAACUUGAUUCUCGGAAACGGUCACUAAAUCUACAAGACUGAGGUGGAAUUUGAUGAUCAUGCAUUAUUGCACUGCCUGUUUGUUUGGUUACUUUGGUCACAUGUUAUUAGAUGGUGGGGUUUAGUUUGGGCAUUACCAGGCUUUGUUAAUGACUUACUCCAAUGGUGGGCCGGUGUAAAUCUGUCGAAACUAGAGAGGAAAAUCUGGAAUUCCAUUCUAUUUGCUGUUUUAUGGCGGAGGAAUCAAAGUUUGUGUUUGAAGCUAGGAUAAUCUAGAGAAUGGAGCUUCUGGUGCUAUCUACUCUUCAAUGGAAGAUGAAUUCUCUGACCCCACUUUCAUUUGGUGAUCACAUUGUGAGGAGAUUUGGAUUUAAGCCAGAUUUGCAUUUGGAGUUUUUGUGGAGGUGUAUGGUUGCACAAUCACUAGAUUUAUUCGAUAAAUCUUGAAAGUUGUUGAUAUGUUUAGAAAGUUAGAUAUUCAUAGUUUUGGAUGGUUUAAACUUUUUGUACAAUUUAGAACUUCAGGAUAUAAUUUUCGAAUGUUCAGAAUGUAUAGAUAAUUCUUGAAUGUUUAUAAUUUAUGGAUAUAGUUUCUUUUUAAUGUUUCAAACAAUAUUUUGGUGGUUGA